UUGCACUUGUAUCAUAGGCAUAUCUUAGUAUGGUAAGUUUGGCCUGAGCCAGGUGCAUAAAACGAAAGCUGUUAAAUCAACAGCAGCCAGACAACUGCAAAGAUGGAUCCACUGGUGAAUGGCUUUUGUUGCUACUUGCCUACUGAUUCCAUCUCAUAUUU